CUGGCUCUCCAUAAGCCCUCGACCAGACGCCAGGAUGGGCAGAGGCCUGACAGGGAGGCUGCAAACCUGGGGCCUCAACCCGGCUGGGCCCAGGGACCCCAGGACCAGUCCUCUGCUCCCCCAGGCUCGGUUUCCUCAUUUGGAAAUGAGCGGCUUCAUCGUCACUCGGUUGGAAGGGCUGCUCGUUAGGCAAGCAGAUCCGAGGGCCCCAUUCAGACCUGCCAAGGCCUGGGUGUCUGCGUGUUUACCAGGCCGCAGGAGACAACUGGAGCUCCACCGACUGGAGCUCGUAAAGCAGCUGGCUCCCCUGCCCCCAGCACCGAGGAGACAUGGGGCUAUCAGAAGGGAUCUGCCGCCUGCCCAGCCCCCCUCCACAGACUCUAGAGGGGGCAGAUUAACAAUUCAGCGCGAUCCUCGCCAAGGCGUCUUGGCUGGCAGCGCACGUCGGAGCCUUCAGGGAGAGCCGGAGGAGCGGCGCAGCGGCCUCCACCGGGCUGCCCCUGGCCCUGCCAGCACCUCACUGCCUCCCAGCCUUUGCCUGUGCUGUCCCUCCACCCAGAGCCCAGCCAGUCUGUCCUUCCAGGAGGGCUCAGAAGCCUCCUCCUCCAGGAAGCCCCCCAUGGCCCCCCAGUGCAGUACCACCGCCUCCAGCCCUGAGCCCCGAAGCCCUUUCUUGGUCUCUUGGGCACUCAGCAUAGCCAUUCUCAGGACACAAUUGUCCAGGGGACACUGGGUCAGUGCAAUUUCCUCUAGGCUCCCAAGCAAGCAUGCACCUAAGCAUGUGCAACCCUCCCUUCUCUGCGCGCUCUUGGGGUGCCAUCUUGAUUUCUUGCUUGGACCUGCAGCUGGCAUGUUUUUGCAUUUGUAAUCCUCAAACUUUGUCAUGCAUCUCAGUCUAGCAGUCAGGGCUGGAUCCCGCAUGUCUGGAGCUGGCAGGAAUGUAUUGUCUAAACCCUGCUAUACCUAUGUCACAGAUAAGGAAACUGAGGCCCAGGGAGACCCCUCUGGCCCUGGCUUACCAGCAAGUGUAUGGCAGGAUGUUCCCCCACCUGCCCCCCAUAUUGGGCAAGACAAAGGCCCCUCAGGCUGGUCAUCUUGGUGUCCAGCUGGGCAGAGUCCCCCGGCACAGGAAGGUCUGAAAGGUGACA
ensembl:lncRNA